rnacentral:sRNA from 1 species
UCUUGAUGCGCUGAUGAUGAAUCAGAAGG